GAAAUGCGAUAAGUAAUGUGAAUUGCAGAAUUCAGUGAAUCAUCGAAUCUUUGAACGCACAUUGCGCCCGCCAGUAUUCUGGCGGGCAUGCCUGUUCGAGCGUCAUUUCAACCAUCAAGCGCCCCGCUUGUGUUGGGGCCCUGCGGCUGCCGCAGACCCCUAAAUCCAGUGGCGGGCUCGUCGUCGUACCGAGUGCAGUAAACAUCCUCGCUCCGGGAACGCCGCGGGUCUCUUGCCGUGAAACACCCCCCAUAUCAAGGUUGACCUCGGAUCAGGUAGGAAUACCCGCUGAACUUAA
rnacentral:misc_RNA from 1 species